rnacentral:lncRNA from 1 species
GAAAAACAACAACUUAAAUUUUACAGUAAUCUUGGUGAUUGCUUACCUCAUUUCUUUAUGAACACUUGGGAUUUGGUCUAAGGCCAUUCGGUAGAACUUAAUGGCUUUGGAAUAAUUUCUUUGUUUUAAGUAAAUAUUUCCCAUAUUCACUUUCAGUCUCCCUAAUUAAAAAAAAAGAAUGUAUAAUAUUCUUAUUUUUGCACUUUUUCUAUGAUAUUGUAGAUGAUCUUAAUUCAUAUUCUCUGAUGUUCUUAAGUUAUAAAGUUUUAGACAUUACCUAAAAAUCUAAUUUUAAAAUAGUUAUACUGUUUCAUGUAUUCAAACAUUAGUUUCUGAGAGGCAAUGAAACUUAAGAUAGUAGAUGUCUGAAAGUAUGGUUGGAAAGAAAAUGACUUACAUUAUAAAACCGAAAGUAUAUUCUGCUAAAAAAAAAAAAGUGAGAUUAUAUGGCAUUUUAAAAUUAGACUAAAAAAUGUCACACACAUUUUAAUAUGAUGUUAAAAGGAAAUGAUAUUCUGAUAAACUUUAAUAUUGCAACUAAAAAUUUAUAUAAUAUAAAUGCUAAAUAUAAACUCUAGUCUAUUGGGACAUAUUUACAGAUGGCAAAGCAUAUUCUAUGGGGAUGCCAUGGCUCAUUCUACCUGUGGUAACAGAACACAUUUUUUGUUUACCAUUAUGUAACAUACUUCAUACCAACCAUAUUUCUUCAUUUGUAUUUGUAUGGAUUUUCACAUACAGUAUCUCUAAGAAGGAUACCUCAUCAUAAAUACAAAUUUGCUUAGAGCAUAGAUCAUUUCAUUAUAAGGAAGCAUAAAGUAGGGAGAUAUAAAUUAACACUACAAAAGAGUUAUGCCUAUUGGCAAAACUGAUUAUACACCUACCUGCAUUGCUAAACAUCUUGUUUUUCACUAUAACUUGAUAUGUGUUUAGUGCUUCUGCAUACAUUUCAUUAGCUGAAUACUGACUGGCCAAGUUGAAAAGAACCUAAGGAAGAAACAAUGGCAAAAAGACAUAAUGAUUAUAUUAGGUCCUGUUCACUUCUGAUCUGUCUAGAGAUUUAAAUCAUACAACAAAAGCUGCUUAUAUCAAGAUACUCAACCAAUUUAGAAAUAUCUUACAUCCAAAUAAGCCACAACAUUAAGAGAUAAACAGCUGUCCUCUAUACAUUUCACUUAAUUUUCUAUGUACUCUAUUUUAACUAGUAUUUGCCAUCCAUUAAUAGCUGAAAGACCCACAAAGAAUAAAUGUAUAUUGUUAAUGUUGCUGGUGAUAAAGGAAAUAAGCAAGAUAAAUGGAUUAAUUCUCUUUGUAAAUAUAAACUAAAUGUCCCAUGGAAAUAUCUUUUUUUUAAUAUUUAUUUUUUUAGUUAUAGGUGGACACGAUAUCUUUACUUUUUUAUUUUUAUGUGGUGCUGAGGAUAGAACCCAGUGCCUCAUGAAUGCAAGGCGAACGCUCUCCCCUGAGCCAGAAUCCCAGCCCCCCUGGAAAUAUCCCUAAAGUAUACCAGGGAAGAAUUUGCAUAGUAACAGCUUUAUAUACAAAAUGAUAACUAAAGUCAUCAAAGAUAGUAUUUUAUGUACCUACAGGUAAAAAAAUUAUCACAAUAAUUUAUUGCCUGAAGAUCUCAUGGAAUUUAAAAAAACUAGUAAAUAUCUAGUAUUUUAAAAUUUCAAAUUCCCCCUUUUAAAUUAGUUUAGUAUAUGAAGACUUUGCCCACUGACAAGGAAUUUUUAUACAAGGAAUUCUUUUCAGAAUAAAUGUUUUGCUAGAAAUUAAAUAUAUUUUCACUACCCUCACAAAGCAUUAUCUUAUUUAUUUGAAAUCCUUGAAAAUCACUGAUCCAAAUGUCUACAUUACAAUCUCAUUAAGAUAACCACCCUGAUUGAGCAUAAAUAUUAAAAGUCUUCAGGGCUGGGGAUGUGGCUCAAGCGGUAGCACGCUCGCCUGGCAUGUGUGCGGCCCGGGUUCGAUCCUCAGCACCACAUACAAACAAAGAUGUUGUGUCCGCCGAGAACUAAAAAAUAAAAUAAAUAUUAAAAAAAAAAAAGUCUUCAAGCUAUUGGAUGGUGGGUUUACAAUUACUAACUAUUAAAAAACAAUUAAUUGAAUAAUUUAAUAAGAGAUCUUUGUACAAACUAAAAAUGAGUGUCUCAUGAAUUAAAGAUUAUUAUGUAUUUGAUUCUGGUACCUAAAAAAAAAUCUGAUUUUAACAAUAAAAGAUAAGGCAAGGACUGUGGUUGUAGCUCAGUGGUAGAGUGCUUACUUAGCACAUGUAAGGCACUGGGUUCGAUCCUAAGCACCACAUAAAAAAUAAAUAAAUAGGGCUGGGGUUGUGGCUCAGUGGCAGAACGCUUGCCUAACACAAGCAAGGCCCUGGGUUCGAUCCUCAGUACCACAUAAAAAUAAAUAAAGGCAUAAAAACAAAUAAAAUAAAGUUUAAAUAACACUACACAUAUAUUUAAAAAAAAAGAGAUAAAGCAAAAAGAAAAAAAAGAUGUUAGUGGGGAGGGAAGGACACAGAAAGGUUAUUUAACAGGUACAAUGUUUUAGGUAGAAGUAAGAAAUUCUGGCAUGUUACUGAACAGCAGGGUGGCUACAGGUAAUGAUAAUAUAUUGUAUAUUUUAAAAAGCUAGAAGAAAGAAGUUUGGAUGUUUUUACCAUAAAGAAAUGAUAAAUGUUUGAGGCCAAUGUGCUUAAUCUGAUUAAACACUACACAAUGUACACAUGUAUCAAAAUAUCACAUGGUACACCAUUAAAAUUGUACAAUUUUUAUAUUUUUAUGUAUCAGUGAACAAAGUUUUAAAAAUAUGUAAAAUAAAAAAGGCUUUUGGAAUCCAUAAAUCUUGGCCAAAAUAAUUUUCUUUGCAGGUAUUUCUAUACUUACGGAGUACGUUAAAUCCAAAUUGAUAUUUUCUGGAGUUGUAACUUGUUCCCGUUGUCUCACCAGGACUCUCUCUUUUCUUCCUGCAUCUUUUGCCUUUUCUAAGGCCUGAAAUCAGAUUUACACUUUUUAAAAUAAUUUCUGGGCAUUUAUCAACUUUCAUUCAUUUGGGAAUUAUCAACAUGAAGCUUGGCCGAAUUCAUUUUCCAACCUCAGAUUCCCCAGGAUGCUUCUCUACUUGAAUAGACUUUCCUCUCUACUCUUACAUUUAAAAAAACAAAACAAAACAAAACAACCUAGAAUAUUUGUUUAAAUGGAGUUCACCAUCACAGAAUUGUGUCUGUGGUUUUCUGAGAAAGGAGGAGAGAGUAUGAAGGAUGAAAUGUAAAGUGUACUUGCACCAAGUCAAGUCUGUACCUUUCACCACCUUUUGAGUUCGACCAUGCCUACCUCCCUACCUUUUCUUUCCUCCUAAUUCCUACAUCGUUAGGUAUUUUAAUUCAAUUUUGUGAGGAAGGAAUUUAAGUAAAAUUUUGUUUCUUAUUUAACAUUCUUCGGGAGGCUCAAAAUACAAGUGAAAGAAUAACUGCUGCCUAAUAUUACAAGAGAUUCUUAGGCUGGCUCUAAUACUACUCAGAAUGUCAAGAAGCUUUCAUUGAUUUCCACAUUAAAAUUCAAUAAGAGACUUUGAUUUUAUUAGAAAUAAAUAAAAAUAGCACCAAUUCUAUAAGCAAUAAAAGUAGGGGUUUAUAUUGAACAUUUCUAAUAGUAUGCAUUAAUCUGAUAACUGAGUCACAGAAAUUAUAUUUACAUGAUAGGAAAAUCAAAGUAAUGAGAACAAAGCAAAUUAAAAGAUCAAAUUUUGAAAAGCAGAAUUUUAAAGAGCAGAGAAGACAUAUAUCUCUAUAGACUUCAUAAUUUCAAUUCCUAUUACUUUGUGAACUUACCAAUUUUAAGUCUCCACAACUGUUAGCAAUACAGCUUUCUUCUACCAACUCAUUUACUUUCUUCUCUAAUUGUCUAAUCUUUUCUUCUGGACUGUUGAAGAAAAAAGCAAGUGUAAUUUAAAUCAUUCAACUACUAAUAUUUAUACUAAAAUUGCAUUUACUUUUAAUACUGUCCAUAACAUGUUCUUUAACUUUAAGAACAGGUGAGGGCUCAGUGGUGCAUACCUAUAAUCCCAGACAUUCGGGAGGCUGAGGCAGGAUGAUCUCGAGUUCAAAGCCAGCCUCAGCAAAAGCGAGGCACUAAACAAUUCAGUGAGACCCUGUCUCUAAAUAAAAUACAAAACAGGGCUGGGGAUGUGACUCAGUGGUUGACUACCCCUGAGUUCAAGCCCAAGUUACCCUCCCUCCCAGCAAAACAAAACAAAACAGGUGACAGAUAUAAGACAAAUGUAUAAAUGGCAUUAAAGAACAAAUGUAUUGCUGAUUUUGAUAAAUAUACUAUAUAAUUAAUUAUUCAUAAUUAUAAUAAAAUAGCUAACAUUUAUUUAGUACAACUCUAUUAACACAGCAAAAUGCUUUACCCUAAUAAUUUCAUUUAUUCCUCAUAACAGCACUUGACACAAGUACUAUCAUUAUUUCUAUGUUACUAAAAAAGAAACUAUGUGAAAUUUAAGUAUUUCACUCAAGAUUGCAAAGCUUGUUAGGUAUGGUGCCAGGAUUCAGACCCAACUAGAACCCUUGCUACUAUAUUACUACCACAAAGGAGAAGUCGAUUUUCUUUUUUUUCCAGAUCCUAUGGUAAAUGAAACUGUAUCUUAUGGCUAGGAAAACUGAACACCCUCCCCCACCAAAAUUACUUAUUAUCAGAAAGAUGCUAAGAGAAAAUAGCACUUUCCUAGCAAGUACAAGAUCCUGGAUUCAAUUCCCAGCACCACAAUCAAUCAAUAUUUUUAAAAAGAGCAAAUUAUCCUCAAAUCAUUCACAUUUCAAAUAAACACUGAUGUUUUGUUACUACUUUCUUCUGCCUUUAAUAAAAUUUUACUAAAGAUACAUUCAAAUAGAUGGUAGUUCUCUUAAUUCUCUACAAAUGAAGGAGUAAAUAUUAACAGUAUAGCUUUGUCUAUGGAAUUAUAUUCUUUGGGGGAAAUCUGGGCCUAAAAUGGUAAAUUCUAUUAGUUUUUUAAGAUCUUCAAAAUUCUGACUGAGCAAGAACAAAAUAGAUACGAUAACUUUAUGAAAGACACUCUGUUCCUAACAAAGACCAAGAAAUGAAACCUAUAUGUAGACAUGGUUGGAUACCUACUUAACAAGAACUUGCCACCCACCCUGCUUCCUAGCACAGACAAUCUAAGCCAGUCUUGAGUAUCGAAUUCCUUUUUCUAGUAUUUGGCUUAACCACGGGCAUAUAAUGCAUUGCACAUCUGCAUGGGAUAGAGAGUUCCUGCAAAAAUUCUCACUGUUUUUUAAAAGGAACUAGAACUAUGAACUGUCUGCUGCUUUAUCAAUUACAAAGAGAUUUUGAACUCUUACUACUCUAUUGGCAUCAUAAUGAUGGGCAAGUUCUUAAGAAAAGCCAAGAGAAUAAAAAAAAAAAAGCUGAACUAGGGAUAAUGUUAUUGAGUAGUUAAAUUUACCUUCCCCUGAAAUGCCCCUUCUCCACAAUUCUCACUAUGUUUUUUUAAUUGGUUUUCUCUUGUCUGAAGCUGAAAAGAUCCUAAAUGACAUACUUAAAUAAAAGAAUAUACUUUUAUUAGCAAACAUGCUGUCAUUAAUGAGUGCACAAAAUAAAACAAUUGCCUAUAGCGGUUCCUUGUUAGCCGAAAAAGGGAACUUAAGUAACUUAUACAAUCAUCCCAAACAUUGAUUUUUAAGAAUUACACAAUUCUAGGGGAGGGGGGAUAGUAGAGGAUAGGAAAGGUAGCAGAAUACAACAGUUACUAAUAUGGUAUUAUGUAAAAAUGUGGAUGUGUAACCGAUGUGAUUCUGCAAUCUGUAUUUGGGGUAAAAAUGGGAGUUCAUAACCUACUUGAAUCUAAUGUAUGAAAUAUGAUAUGUCAAGAAAUUUGUAAUGUUUUGAACAACCAAUAAAAAAAGUAUAAUCAGAAAAAAAAUAAAAAUAAAAUAAAAAAGAAUUACACAAUUCUGGGGGCUGGGGAUGUGACUCAAGCGGUACCGCUCUUCCCUGGCACGCGCAGGGCGCUGGGUUCGAUCCUCAGCACCACAUAAAAAUUUAAAAAAAAAAACAAAAAUAAAGAUGUUGUGUCCACCGAAAACUAAAAUAUAUAUAUAUAUUUAAAAAAAGAAUUACAAUUUUGGGGCUGGGUUAUGGCUCAGUGGUAGAAUGCUCGCCUUGCACAUGCAAGGUCCUGGGUUUGAUCCUCAGCACCACAUAAAAAUAAAUAAAUAAAAUAAAAAUUAUUUUAAAAAAAGAAUUACAAUUUUAAGCCGUAUAUUAUACAGAAGCAAAACAGUGUGCGUGGUUAAUAGAUGAGUUCUGGAACCAAACAACUGUAUUUGAAUCUGAGUCAUUCUCUUUAUUAACCUUAGCAAGUCAAGAUCUCUGUGUUUCUGUUCCUUCUCUAUGAACUGGUGACAGUAAUAACCCCAUUUUUAUGUGUAAUGCACUUGGAACAGUACCUGCACACAGCAAGUACUCAGUAAUAUUAACUGUUUUUAUUGUUUGUGAAAUGUAUACAUCAAGGUACUCAGAUACCAGUACAUGUAUACUGCUGAACGGAUACUGCCGUUUUUAUUAUUAUUAUUAUUGUUGUUGUUUUAGCUACUAGUUAGAUAACAGCACAAAACUUAUGUUAAUUCUACAAAAAAUUAUGUUGUUCAGACUGAGGAUGGAGCUCAGUGGUAGGCAAGUGCAAGGUCCUGAGUUCAAUCCCCAACACCAUACACAGACAGAUACACACAAAUUAUAUUGCUCAAUAAUAUGAUUAAGUUGACAUGUAUUCUUAAUUUUUUUCUUUUAAAUGUCCUUUUAUAAUAAUCAUAACACAUACAAUCACAUUUGACCCUCAAAAGAAACACUACUGACACCCAUAAAAAUUAGACAUCAAGUCAAAUAAUAUUGUAACAAAACUGCAAAGAACACAUGUAGCUAUUCUUAGAUUUGAUUUAUUUGCUAGUUCUAAGAACUAGAAAUGGUGUUUGAUUACUUUCCUGCUGGGACAAACUUUUUAAAUUACACAUCUGGAAAAUAAAAAUAAAAAACAUUCAGCAACAAUAACAAAAUGACAACAAAACGACUUGCAUACCUAUCUUCGUUUUUGGUUUCCAGAGGAGGAGCAGGGCCCCUUGAUUGACCAAGUGGGUCAAAUGCAGAGCCUGAGACACAAUUCAAGAGUUCAUAUUUAAUUUGCAACCCAGAAAACUGAAGAAAACAUGAAAUUUGCACCUUAUUUCAUUUACCUACUUAUUAAAUAAUUUAGAUUCCCUGUUUGUUAAAUGGAUAUAACAUUUAUUAAGUCUACAUAAAUAUUUUAUAUGUCAGGAAAUUGGUAAGAUCUUUAACAUACAUGAAACUAUGUAAAUAAAACUUGUGUGUUAACAUAUAAAAGAUACUCUUAGCAUUUCCCCACAGUGACCUCUACCUCUAUCUAGCAUGAUCUCUAAAUUAUCAAUCAUGAGAGUUAUUAUCUGAUAUUGGCUUCCUAAUUUUCCUUACUGGUAUAAUAAACAUUAAUUUUUGUCAUAAUUUUAUGUUUUAAUUGUUACUUAGCUUCUAUAAUUAAAUACUAUUUUCAUCUUUCAUUUUUUAAACCAAGCUCUAACUUAUAUAAAAUAAAAUGCCAUAGUUUAAAUGCAUGGUUCAAUACAUUUUGAUAAAUCAAAAACUGUUUUAACUACCAUUCCAAUGGAGCUAUAGAACAAUUUCUUUUCUUUCCUUUUUUUCUUUUUAAUACUAGGGAUUUAACCCAGGGGGUCACUGUGCCACAUCCCAGCCCUUUUAUUUUUUAUUUUGAGUCAGGGUCUCGAUAAGUUGCUCAGGGCCUUCACUAAAUUGCUGAGGCUACCUUUGAAUUCAUGAUCCUCCCGCCUCGGAUUCCUGAGUCAUUAGGAUUAUAGGCAUGCGCCACUGUGCAUGGCCCCUUCCUUUCUUAUGUGGUACCUCAAAUAAGAAUCAAUUAUAAUCAAUGGCAUUUUAGAUUUUAUUUAAAAUAGGAAUGACACUCAUAUAUACAAAAACAGUAAAAAAUUAAGAUACAUGAAAAAAUUAUUAUAGAGUUUGUAUAACAAACCUCUCAAAGAUGCUUUGGUAAAACCUGCUGCUCUCACUGCUGUCAUGGGUCUAGUUACUCCAUCCUUCAAAGAAUAGAAAUUAUUUAAAAAGUAUUCUAAGACAAGAUCUACCUCCUAUUUAAAAUUCUGUACACGACACAUAUCAUAAUAUAGUCCCAAUUUUAAUACUGAUUUUAAUUACUAUCCGCUUAUCCCUUACUUCUAUCUCUUCAUAUAUCAAUCCUGUGUAUUUUCUCUUUCUCCAUAAAGUUUCCAUUCCUUGAUAUAACUUGGUUUCUCUCAGUUUGAAAAGAAAAAAACUAAUUAACAUUAUUUAGAUAGUCUCCUACUUAUGGCUGGUCUCCUAUAUAUAGCACAUAACACAAUCAUUGAAAAGGAUAACAGAAGAAAAGCAGGUCUCAGCAAACACAUCAUAUAUAUAUAUAUAAUAUAAACCAUUUCUAUAUCUACUCCCCAAUAGGUUUUCAUUUGAGACCUCAAUACAUAAAUCCAAAGAUUUAGAACAAUCUUUGAACAUAAAUCUGACAAUUUAGGACAGUCUAAACUUUACCCCACAAUUUUAAGAAUCAGGGUCAUUAUAUAAGUAAUUUAACAUUUUAAAAUAUAUAACAGAGAGGGGAAUCUCUGGUAUAAAUUCCAGGUCAUGAGAAAGGCACAAAAUCAACAACUAAAUAGCAGAGAUACCUGAAUAGCCCCUGUCAUUGGUCUUCCCAUUGAUGAUGUCAGGGAUGUCUUGGACUAAUAAACAGAAAAGUCAGUUAAAAAGAUUCCUAAACACAGCUACCUUUAUUUUUAAAAACCAAGUUAUAGAUGUUUUCUUCAUAAUUUUUUCUUCAUUCUUUUGACAAGUAAACUUACACAUAAUUUUUUCCCAUUUAUCACCUGAAGGCAUAGAAUCAAACUAUGAAACUCUAAAAUCAGAAGUCAACAACAACAACCCAAAGCCUUUAUAAAGUUUAAAUGGAACACAGUCAAACUCCAUCCAUUUACACACUGCCUAUGGUUGCUUUUGCAUUACAAAAGCAGAGGUGGAUGAAUAGCUAUGACAAAGACCACAUAACCUGUAAAGCCUAAAAUAUCUGGCCCUUCACAGAAAGAGUUUGCUGUCUCUUAUUCUGAAACAACACCAAAAAUCAAAUUUAUGAGUACAUGUUCAGAAUGAUUAAUGAACGUAUGUUUCACAUGAUAUACUGUUAGUUAUAUUAUGUAAGAGGCUACUUUCUUCACUUACAUAAAGGAUCAUUAUAAAGGCAAGUGCCCUGGGCUUCUGGGUUCUAAAGCCAUUUUUCUGACCCCUUAGAAAAUAUUAUCAUAAGGACUAGGAAAUGCUACUCCACCACGUGCUUCCAUUUUUUUCUCCCUUCAACUUGUAGGUAAUUUGGACAAGAUUUAAAGAUUUAUUUAUUUAUUAUAGAGUUUUAUAGAGUAUCUUUCCUCCAAAGAUCUCUAAGGCAAGACCUAAGUAUAUAAUUCCAAAACACUUUUUAAAAAUUUUAUUUCUUCAUUUAUUAAUUAGUAAGUUUUUAAAAAUAAUUAUCAACAACAUUACAUUUAGGUAACAUCUGAUUUCACAUAAAAUACAUGAAUGGAAUACACAUGAGACUUGGUUAUAUUAUGCAGAAAAUGAAGCAACUUAAUCAAUCAACAAAAGGUUUACAAAUGGAAAGUCAGCAAAAUAUUUUCUGAUAUAUUUAAAAUCAAAAUGACUAAAAUGUUCAAAGCUGUUAAUCAAAUUAGACUUUUUAAAUGUUCAUAACUACCCUUAUAACUAUCCAAAUGGAAACUAUAUCUGAUUCAUGAAGUAAAAGAUUACUAAAAUUAUUUAGAACUGACUUAUGUUUAAGAAAAAGCAUCUUAAUAUUUGCAGCUUACAAAACCUACCCCAUAUCCAGUAGCUAUAGGUCUAGUAACUGCAGUGCUUGGUAUUUUAGCAGUUAUCUUGGGGAGGAAAAAGAACACAGUUAACAGAAUUCUGAUUAAGCUAUAGAAUAGAAAAUUGGGAAAGAAAUGGAAAUACAGACUCAUCAAUAAGAAAAUAUUUACGUAAUAUUUAGAAUAAUUCUUCUAAAUAUUUCUAUCUUAAUAUUAAAGAGCUCACUUUUCUUAAUUGAGAAAGUAUUGAGAAAGAGACUUAUUUUGAAAUUCAUUCUAAAGGAGAAAGGAGACUUGAGAAAUGACCUAAGGUACUAAAAAGAAAGAUCUGUUUCAUACUUUCAUCUAUCAUGUAUUCAACAUUUACUACAUUCAUAGUACUGCCAGCCACUAGCCCACACAAUAGAUGCAGGUUUUAAUGUCUAAGAAACUGGGUUUAAAUCCCAAUUCUCUCUCAACUGGUUAAUAUCUUUGAACCUAAAUUUGCUCACCUUUGUAUAUAAAGUAUGCUGAUAACAAAAUUGUAGUGGUUCAAAUAGGACCAUGUGAAAAUGUGUUAAACAGGUUAGUUGUUAGGCUUAUUUAUUGUUCAACAUAUUUAAAUACAAUUCAUUGAGGAAUUCUACUUCUGGCUAUGAUGGAUUAUUGCUUUAAAAAAAAAAAAACCUUCUUACUAAAAACAAUUAAAAAGGCUAGGGACAAAAACAUGUUUAAAAAAUUGUUUCCAUGCACCAGAGAACCAUCAAAACUGAAAAAUUGCAAGGUCUCAAAAUUAAGAAGAGAAGGGAAGACCUGAGAGGUGAACCUGCAUUUGCGCUAUUUUUCUCUGAUAGACAUCUGUUCAUUCCAAAGGCAUGGAUGAGAAACUGAGCACAGUUUUUGAAAGACUCACAGUCUGAGGGGAUAAACAGUGGAGUUGGGGGACUGCCAAAGAGCAGCUCUGAUAAUUCUCCAGGCUCUAGCUUGCACUCAAAAGACCAUACCCUCAGGCUGAAAGGCAAAUAGAAGUAUACCAACCAGCCUUCUUUAGGGAUUAAGUCCAAUUUAGAAUCACUUCCAAUCCAACCAGAUUAAGGUGGCCAGAGAUACCUUGUACUGCUAGGGUCAUAAGUAAAAGUAAAUUAUCUCUAAAAUCCUGAGUGCUCUUCUAUCCAACAGAACUUUCUGCAUAACAAAACGUUCUAUAUCUGCAAUAGCCACUAGCCACACAUGACUACUGAGUAUUUAAAAUAUGACUACUGCAAGAUGGAUCUGAAUUUUUCAUUUCAAAUAAAUAGUUACAUGUGGCUAGUAUCUAUCAGAUACUAACAGAGACAUAGAGCAAUAAAUUACUUCUACAAUUUUUCAUUUACAAUGUCUGGUGUUCAAUCAAAAAGAAUCAGACAUACAGGAGGCAAGACUAACUAACCAAAACCACAAGAAACACAAACAAAUUAAAAGAAAUCCAGAUGGAGAUUCAUGUAAUGAAAAUACCAGACAUAGACUUCAAGAUAACCAUGCUUAAUAUGUUCAAUGAGUUAAAAGACAAGAUUGACAAGUCAGUAGAGAACAACAACAAAAAGAAUAAAUGGUAAUUCUAGAACUGAAAAUAGUGUAAAAUUUUGGCAUUGUAUAGAAAGUAGAAAAACUACUAGUUUAUAAUAGAUUUUCGUAAGUUAAAGAUGAGUAUUGUAAUGUUUAGGAACACACCAAAAAAAUGGUUAAAGAAUAUAAACUACCAAGAUAACAGAAGAGGGAAAUAGAAUAAUAAAAACAAGCAAUGAAGGCAAAAAAAGAAAGAAAGAAAGAAAGAAAGAGAGGGAGGGAGGGAGGGAAGGAGGGAAAGGAAGAGAACAAAACUUAAAAGAGGAAAAAAAAAACCAAACAAGCAAUAAAAUUUAAAUACAAUAUUUCAUUAAAUGUAAAUAAGAUGUCUCAAUAAAAUAAGAAGAUAGACUAUUUUAAAAACUAGAGCCCAAUUACAUGUUUCUAUUGAGAUACAUCUUAAACAUGGAUUUGGAAAACCUGGAAGUAAAAACUGGGAAAAACAUAUGAUGCAAAUAUUAGACACAAAGAGAGCUUAUAUAACUAUAUCAACAUAUUAACAUCUGACAAAAUGGACAUAACGCAUUACUAGAAAUAAAGAUAUUUCACAACAAUAAAAGGUUCAUUUUACAAUAUAGAUAUAACAAUUCUAAAAUCUUCUGCAAAGACCAAAAAGAGAUAGACAAAUCCUUAACAGUGCAAGAUGUGCUUGUACUUCCCAUUAAUAACAGAACCAGUAGACCAAAAAAAAAAAAACCUCAUAAAAAAUAUAGAACACCUGAACAAAAUCAUUAAUAUACUUGAUCCAAUUAUACACUGUACCAUACAUUGUAUUUAUUAUCAACUGCAGAAUAUACAUUUCUUGAAAAUGCACUUGGGUAAUAUUAAUAAAUUCCAAAGAAUUGAAAUCAGACAGAUUAUGUUCCCUACCUAAGAAUAAAGCUAAAAAACAAUUUAAAACAAAGAUGAUUAGAACAUUUUAGAAAUUAAGAGAUUUACUCCCAAAUAAUCUAUGGGUCAAGGAAGAAAUUGCCAUAUAAAUCAGAAAAUAUUUUGAACUGAAUAAUAAUGAACAUAUUAUGAUAGAGGAAAAUAUGGAAAAAUACACAUCUAUUUAUUUGUAGAAAAAUAGAUGCCUGAAUUAUAGGUUUUAAUACAUGAGUUGUUAGAUGAACUUUAAUCAUUGGGUCUUUGCCUUCUUGGGGGCAGGUAUUUUAAUAUUGCAGGGCUUAGAACUCAAAUGCUUGAAAAAGUUGGCUCCAGGUCUUAGAAAAGGCUAGAAGGGAAGAAUACAGGUCUCAGCAACUUUCUCCUUGAGAACAAACUGAGGGCAAAAGAACAUUACUGCUUUUUAAGUUCUACCUAAUGACUACAUCUGUUUUGCUGCUGUUGUUCUUUGUAGUCAGCAUUGACAGGCUCUCAUACUGUCUCAACCCUUUGUCACUUUUCCCCUCACCUGCAGUGCCCUUCCUCCUAUAUCUAAAGGUCUGCCUCAAUUUCAUAGAUCCUUUAAUAUAACUCUAAUUUAAUCUUUUAAGAAACAUCUUCUAAUUGUCCCAACUACUGGAAAAUAACCUCUCUUCAUGGUCCCACAGCAAUUUAUUUUCUUUUUUUACAACUUAUUGCAUUACGCCUUGUAACAGGCCCCUUCUCUCUCUCUGCUUUCUGACCCCACCAUUAGCUAAGAAGUUUUCCUCUGAUGGGCUCUUCUCCCAUGAUGUGCUCCUUCACCUUGUUCACAGCAAUGGAGCUGGCAAUCUAUGGACUGAGAUCUCUAAAACCAUGAGCCCCAAAUAAACUUAUCCUCCUAUAAGAUUUUUCCUGUCAGAUAUUCUGAUCAUAACAACUCCAAGCUGACUAAAGUAGCCAGUCUGGCAAAAUUAUCACCUACUGUGAAUCACCUGAUUUACUAAGUCAUGGUCGAUAAGGAAAAGAACAAUGAGUCAAACAUAGAGUCUCUUCAAAAGUCCACAGUCUAGUCAUAGCCUAGCAGAACCCAGUGUUCUGGUUUUUCUUCCAACAAUGAAACUAACCUUAAAACUAAAAUACUAGCUGUGGAAUAUGUAGUGAAGAAUUACUUUACCCAAAGAGAGACCUGGCCUUUUCCCUUGGCUACUGGGAAGUGAUCUCUAGACUCCUACCUACUUGAUAAGAAUGUCUUUGUUUGUCUGGGGGCCUUGAUAAGUGGAAGAUCUAACAAUGUGAUCUACGGUAGGUGCAUUGGGACAUAUCAGUUUCACCUACCAGAGUUACCAGCCUGGACCUCCAGGAGGGGCUGGAGACCAAAGGGCAACUAUAGGGGCAGUAUGUGAUUAAGCCCCAUAAAAUUUUUGGACAUCAAAAUCUUGGGUGGACUUCCCUAGUUGGCAGUAAUUUGAGAGAACUGUCGCAUACAGUGGCCAGGAAGAGUUACAACCACUCCUGGCUCUAUAGAGAAAUGACAAUCAGAAGCUCUAUAUGUGGACCACUCUCAAAUUCUGUCCCAUACACCUCCUUCCCUUGGCAGAUUUUAAUCUGUAUCCUUCCGUUGCAAUAAACUUGGGAGUACAAUAGAUUUCAUUGAGUUCUGAGUAAUUCCAGAGAAUUAUUAAAGGUAGUGCUGGGAACCCUUGGCUUUGCUUGCAAUUGCUUUGAGAAAUUAGGGAACUCUUAUGGAGGACUCUGACAGCUAGUUAAACUCAUUUCAGGGAACCAUGCUACAUUCACUUACACCAAAUGAGAUGAGGUAAACUACUCACAAGAUUCUUUUCAUGUUAAAUGUUUAAUACUAAUCAUUGAUUUUUACUAAACUAGAAUGUGUGCUAGGGAAGAUGGCAGAAAGAAUAAAAAAGGUGAAGGAAGAUGAAAGCAGGAGAGUAUCUCAUUUUAAAGCAGAGGAGUUGCUGCAUCAGGGUUUCCUAAUGUUGGCAGUACUGACCUCUUGGGAUGGAUAAUUCUUUAUUAUGUGGAACUGACCUAUGCAUUAUAGGAUGUUUAAUAGCAUCAAUGGGUAUCCACUAGAUACUAACAGCACUCUAUAACAACCAGAAUUAUCUCCAAACAUUGCUAAAUGUCCCCUUAGAGGUGUGGGUGGGCAAAACUAUCCCCAGUUGAAAAUAGCUGCUAUAAUAAAACUAGGAGAGGAAAGUUGUUUUUAAAAAAGAAUGUUAGGUAUAGAUCAUUAGAGGGAAAACUUUCUAUACUUCACUAUUUCACUUAGUCCCAGCCUUGUUUAUUUUCAACCACAAAAGAAGUUUGGCAGAUUUCAUGCACCAUGGAAAACACAUAUCUAUGCUUCACAUGACAUAUACAAAAAUCUUAAGAGUUACAAAAGAGUUAUUUUACAAAAAUAAAUAAAUAAAUAAAUAAAUGUAGUGAUUUAUGUACCAGUGGAAGAGAAUCACUAUACAAGAAAGAAGUAAUUUGUAUUAUUAAGACCCAAUGUUUUGAAGGAAUAAUAUUUCUAGCACUUUAAAAAGUAGAAAGGUAAAUAUUUUUAAAAUAAUUCUGCAAUCUGUAUAUGGGGUAAAAAUGGGAGUUCAUAACCCACUUGAAUCAAAGUGUGAAAUAUGAUAUGUCAAGAACUAUGUAAUGUUUUGAACAACCAACAAUAAAAAAUAAAAUAAUAAUAAUAAUAUUUUAGGUAAACAUACUCUGAUGUUUUAUAUACACAACACUUAUAUUUUCAAAAGCAUACAGAAACUUUUGAUUUAAAAUACUUUAAAAUUAUGUGUACAACUAUUAAAUGUGCUAUGGUUUGAAUGUGGUUUAUUCCCCAAGUUUUAUGUGUUGGAGGCAUGGUUCCCAUAGUGGCUAUACUGGGAGAUACUGUGUAACCUGUAAGGGAGGCCUAGUGGGAAGUCAAGGGGGUUCUGCUGACAGAGGGGAAAAUUCACCUCCUAAAGUAAGUUCUCACAAGAGCAAGUAGUUUAAAACCUUAAGCCUAACAUUCUUCUCAAGCUUCCUUUUCAAGAUGGGAUCCUUCCUCCCAUCCAUGCUCUGCAAUGUACCAUAGAGCCCUCACCAGAUCCUACAUGUUGUUUGUUCUUUCAGCUCCCAGACUUUACAAAGUUGACCUGUUUCAGGUAUCUCAUUAUGAUAAGGAAAAACUAAUACAACAUGUCAAAUAAAAAUAAGGAAAAUUAAAAAUCCACUUAUUGGAUACACUGAAAUCUACAAAACAUUACUGAAGGAAACUAAAGGUGACACAAACAAAUGAAAAAGACAUAAGAUAUUCAUGAAUUGGAAGACUAAAUGUUGUUCAGAUGUUCAUACAACCUGAAGUGAUCCACAGGUUCAAGCCAAUCUCUAUCAAAAUCCUAACAUUGCUUUUUGUUCAAAUAGAAACAUUCAUCCUGAAACUCAAUGAAAUAUCAAAGGUCCCUAAAAAGUUAAAACAAUUCUGAAAAAGAGGAACAAUUAUCAGACUCACAUUGCCUGAUUCCAAAACAUGACAAAGCUAUAGUAAUCAAAACAGUGUGGUGCUAGCAUAAAGACAAGACGAAGGAAACAGAAGAGGCUGCAGAAAUAAACCCUUGCAUAUAUGGUCACAUUUUUACACCAUACACAACAAAGUAACUCAAAAUAGGCUGAAGGCCUAAACAUAAGACCUAAAACUAUAAAACUCCUAGAAGAAAAUAUAGAGGAGAAGCUUCAUGGAAUUGCUUGUGGCAAUGAUUUCUAGGAUAUAACACCAAAAGCGCAAGAAAAAAAAAAUUUUUAGACAAGUAGAACUACAUCAAACUAAAAAUCUUUGUACUUCAAAGAAUACAAUCAAUAGCAUGAAAAUGCAACUUAUUGGAUGGGAAAAAAUAUUUGCAAAUCAUAUAUAUCUAAUUAGUUAAUAUCCAAAAUAUAUAAAGAACUUCUAUAACUCAACAUCAAAAUAGACAAUUCUCCAUUGACAGAUGAAUGGAUAAAAAAAAUGUGGUACAUAUAUACAGUAGAAGCCUUUAAAAAGAGGAAAUGUUGUUAUAUGAUACAACAUGGAUAAAACUUGAGGACAUUAUACUAAGUGCAAUAAAUCUGUCUUAAGAACAUAAAUACUCUAUGAUUCCACUUAUGUAAGGUACCCAGAAUGAUCAAAUCCACAGAAAUAGAAAGCAAAUGGUGGUUAUUGGGGACUUAGGAAAGGGGAGAAGAUGGGGAAUUGUUGUUUAAUAGUCACAGGGUUUCAUAUUUACAAGAUGAAAAAAUUUUGAAAACCUGUUUCACUGGAAUGUGAAUAUACUUAACACUACUAAACUUUACAUUUCAAGAUAAUUAAGAUGAUAAGUUUUAUGAUAUGUGAUUUUUACCAUUUUUUUAAAAAUUUCACUUACAGGAGGUCUUCUGCCAUGACUUGUUCUCACUGCUUGCUGAAAACCUGUAUCAUUCUCCAAUUCCUAAAAUGAAAUGGCAAAUUUAACAUUCAAAUAUGAAAAGAGAAUUGGGGAAAAAUGUUUAAGCUCUUAUGGUAUUCAAGAUCCUCUAUAAUUCAUCAUAUCCUAGAUGCUGACAUCAGGGUUGGGACUCAAGGACUCCUGUCCUCAAAUCUUCCCCCAAAUAUCAAGGCUCCUUCCUUUCUUACAAAUAAGAAUACAAAUUAUGUUAAUUAAUUUAUUAAGGGCAUUUUAUUAACUAUUAUUCAAAAGGUCAGUAUCAUAAUGCCUGGUUAAAAGAUCGCAAAUAUAGGAUAUGACCCUUCUUUUCCUUCCCUCCCUCCCUCCCCUCUCUUGCUUCCUUCCUUCCCAGUAGCUACAGCAGUAAGAAGAGAUCUGUACCCCCUCCCUCCCUUCCAUUCCCUCUCCCUCUUUUCCCAUAUGCUAGGGUCAUGCUACCAUUCCUACCUGAGAAAGCCCCAGGACAAAAAAGGGCAUAUUUUUUACAAGCAGGGAAGCAGACACUUUCUAUUAUUUUGUUUACAUCUGCUCAAGUGAAAAACCUUUGCAUCUCACUGGACAGGUAAAAUCUUGAGAUUCAGACUGAAGUUAACCUAGCUGGCUCCAUUGAGUUCAACCUGUUCUGUCAUUUGGAAUCAUCUCAGUUGAAAUAAGUUAUUUUGCUUUCCUGAUUCUUGACUUAUAUUUUCCCUCAGGAAAUCUGAGGAAAGAAACAUUAGUCAAGGUCAGAGAUACAAUUGUUCUUAGGUUUCUGAACAAAAUGUCAUUUUUUAAGCUCUCUAAAAAACACCCAGUCUUACCAACUGCCAAUCUUUUAACAAGAUUUCGUUUUCUACUUCUUCUAGAACAUAAAUUUGGCUGUAAUUACUCAGGUACACUUUAGUACAACUCUCUUACUUGUCUUUAAUUUAUUCCAAUUUACUUCAGACAAAAAUAUACCUGCUGCUAUGGUUUGAAUGUGGUUUGUCCCCUAGAGGUUCACAUGUUGGAAGUUUGGUCCUCAGUGUGGUGAUGCUAAAAUGUGUAAUCUUUGAGAGAUGGGGAGGUAAUUAGGUCAUUGGGAGUGCCGUCCUCAAAAGGGAUUUAUGGAGGUCUUGUGGAAUUAGUUCCUAAAAUUUUUUUAAUAUUUCUUUUUUUAGUUGUCAAUGGAUUUUAUUUAUUUAUAUGUGGUUAUGAGACUCAAACCCAGUGCCUCACACAUGCCAGGCAAGCAAUCUAUCACUGAGCCACAACCCCAGUCCUUAUUUAUUUUUGCAUGGUGCUAAGGAUGGAACCCAGUGCCUCAUGCAUGAGAGGCAAGCGCUCUACCACUGAGCUACAACCCUAGCCUGAGAAUGGGUUCUUAUAAGAACACCAAACUAGCCCCUCUCUCUCUACUCUGGCUUCUUGUCUCACCAUGUGAUCUGGCUUGUUGUAACCACUCCUAUCACAAUACCAUGCAACCCAAGGACCCUCACCAGAGGACAACAGAUGGAACUGCCUGAUCUUGGACUUUCAAUCUCCAAAACAGAGGUAUAUCUUUUCUUUAUAUAUUACCAAGCCUCAAGUAUUUUGUUAUAACAAGAAACAGACUAAUAUCCUUGCUUGGUAUUAAUACAUAUAAAAUGAAGUCACUAUCAAUUAACUUUUAAAAAAAAUACUUAUUUUUUAGGUGUAGAUGGACACAACACAAUGCCUUUAUUUUUAUGUGGUGCUGAGGAUCGAACCCAGGUCCCACCCAUGCUAGGCGAGCGCUCUACCGCUGAGCCACAAUCCCAGCCCCCAAUUAACGUUUUUUCUUAAUGUUUAGUUGUAGAUGGACACAAUACCUUUAUUUCAUUUAUUCAUGUGAUGCUGAGGCUCAAACCCAGUGCCCCAUGCAUGAGAGGCAAGCACUCUACCACUGAGCCAGCCCUCAAUUUACUUUUUUAAAAGUCUGCAGAAAAUCAAAGUAAAAUGUUCAUAUUAACAGGAUACUAAUACAAUGUACUUUAAACAUGAUUUUAUUACAAGCAUUUCUUCUUUAACUUUUACUUUAAAUUAUCUUUAUAACCUCCCAUAUCACACUACAGAAAAUUAAAUAAGUACAAAAUGUUCAACCAUGGGAACUUUUAUGUAAAAUACAAAGCCAAAGGCAACCUCCAGCAUAAUUAAUUAUACUUCUAUUUUGAUGGAUCUUUUGGUAAAAAGAGUCUUCUAAGAUUCUUGAACUAUUCAUAAAAUGUUAUGAAUAAGCUCAAUAAAUUCUAAUUAAAUGCGAGAAAGAAUGAUCAACAAAUUUUCUAAUAACAAACACUAAACACAACUUUUGUAACUUUUUCUUUGUACCUUGACAAACUAUAUAUUGUAUUAUCAUCUUAAGCAACAGUUUCAAGUGAUUAGGUUAUAUAUUAUACCUGUUAUUACUACAACUAAUUACAUGACACUUCAAAUUUAGUACACUAAAAAAAAAAAAAGAAAGAAAGAAAGAAAAACCUGCUUUUAAGUACUUCCAGGUGGCUCGAGCAGUAGCGCGCUCGCCUGGCAUGCGUGCGGCCCGGGUUCGAUCCUCAGCACCACAUACAAAAAACAAAGAUGUUGUGUCCGCAGAAAACUAAAAAAUAAAUAUUAAAAUUCUUUCUCUCUCUCUCUUAAAAAAAAAAAAAAGUACUUCCAGAUGAUUUAAGUCUUUUUAAUUCACACAGUGAUGAAAAACCAAAGUAUAUAACUCGUCUUCAUUCAUUUAUAUAAUAUUUCUCAUGAUCUUCCCUUCUACUACAAUAAUUACUAUUGGUGGAAGUUAGCAGAAUCUUCACUAAUAGCACUUUUCGAUUUUUAAGUCAACUUACUUAAACCAUAAAAAAGCAGAGAACCUUCAAAUCCAAAGUCUUCAUAUAUCAACUGAGCUGGUUCACAAAAGACUAAUAUAAAAAAAAGUUGGGCUGGGGAUGUGGCUCAAGCGGUAGCGUGCUCGCCUGGCAUGCGUGCGGCCCGGGUUCGAUCCUCAGCACCACAUACAAACAAAGAUGUUGUGUCCGCCGAAAACUAAAAAAUAAAUAUUAAAAAAAAAAAAAGUUUUUUUGUUUUUUUUUUUUACCUCAGUAUCAUAGAUUGGAUUGUAGUCAUUGUAACCAGAAUAAAGAUCAUCAUCAUCUGUCUCUGGAGCCAGGUGCACAUUUUGCAUCAUUUGUGCCUAAGAAAAAACAGUGCAAAUAUGUGUUAAGAUUUGGAUGUAGAAUAUCCCCUAAAGGCUCAUUUGUUAAAGGCUUGGUCCCCAGUGCAGUAAUGUUCAAAAGAAGGGCUUUUGGGAAGUGACCGGAUCAAGAGAGAUCUAACCUCAUAAACAGACUUAUCUACUUAUGGUUGAAUGCAUUAUUGGGAGGUGGUAACCAUGGUACAAGGGGGACUUAGUUGGGGGAAAUAGUCACCAAGGGCAUAUCCUGCUUAUUACUCUUUCUCUCUCUCUCUCCCUCCUUCUCCUGACUCCUCUUUUCUGAGGAAAGCAACAUUGCUCUGCCAUGCCCUUCCUCCAUGCUAUACAGCUUUAACACAGAUCCAGAAACAAUGGGGUCAGCUGACAAUGAACUAAAGCCUCUGAAACUAUGAGCCAAAAAAUCUUUCCUCCUCUAAGUUGAUUUUCUCAGCUAUUUUGUCCCAGCAACAGAAAACUGGUUAAUACAAUGUGUGACUGGUAUAAAAAUUAAAAUAUAUGUGUGUACGUGUGUGUGUGUGUGUGUGUGUACACUUGGGGGUGCUGGGAAUUGAACCUAGGGUAUUGCUGCUAAGCACACUAUUGAGCUAUACUCCAAGCCCCAAGAAAUAAUUCUCAAUUCAAAUGCAUAACCUUUUUUGGCCAAAUUUAACUAUACAUAUUUCUAUGGCUUCAGUUUUUUUUUUCAAAUUCCUAAAAGUAGGUGUCAAAACAUUCAUUCAUUGCCCUCAUUUUAUAUUUAUUCCAUACCUUCUACAUUGAAAGAACAGUAAUAGGACUGAGGGAAGGGUAUAGCUGAUUACCCUGAUUUUCAUGGAGCUUAGUAUCAAGUGCAGAAGAAACAUAAGCAAUAGCCCAAUGCAAUGCAAAUACCACUACAAUCCCACCAUAAUAGAUAAAGUUUAAAAGAUCACCAACAUAUAAGGCCAGCAAAAAUGUGAAGCAAUUGGGAUAUCCAUACACUGUUCAUAGGAGUAUAAAAUUGUAAAUUUUGGAAAAAAUUCUCACAGUUUCAUAAAUUAAUAUUUACCUUUCAUGACCCAGCAAUUCUACUCCAGAGUUUUUACCUGGGAGAAAUGAAAAUAUGUCUACAAAAAGAUUUAUGUAAGAAUGUUUAUAGCAGCUUUAUUCAUAAUGGACAAAAUUAGAAUCAGACAAGAUGCCCAGCAAUAGAAUGGGUAAGCAAAAUAUGGUAUAUUUAUGCAAUGAAGUACUAUUUGGCAAUACAAAAAUGCAUGCACUGAUGGCAUAUAUAACAAUAUGAAAGAAUCUCAAUUACACUGUGUGCUAGAAGCCUUAUAUAAAAUGGUACAUUGAGCACUGUUUCAUUUAUAUAAAGUUCUAGAACAGGCAAAAUUAACCUAUGGAAAAAAACAAUCAGAACAGUGAUUGCUUGUUGGGGAUGGGGAAGUAGAGACUAAAUCGGAAGCAGCAAAGAGAAUUUUCUGGAGUAAUGAGAAAUAUUCUAUGUUUUGAUGGGGGUUUCGGUUACACUGGCAUCCAUGUAUGAAGACUCAACAAAUGCACACUUAGGAUUUCUGCUUUUCUUUGUAAAUUCUAUCUUGAAAGGAAAAACAGUAGAUAAAUAUUGAACUCUAAAUUAGUAAGCAUGCCAAGUAUUUAAGAGGAAGUUUAAUAUCUGCAAUUUUGUUUGAAAUGUAUAAAAAGAAGGGUUGAUAAUGGAUAGGAUAGCCAUAUGAUAAAGCAAGUAUAGAAAAAUGAUAAUGGUAGAAACCAGGUAGCAAGUAAAAGGGUCACAGUUAAAUUCUUUAAACUUUGCUACACACUUGAAAACGUUCAUAAUAAAUGUUGAGAAAAACAUGCUUAGGCAGAAUAAAAUAGAUGUCAAAGCAAAUAAAAUAGAAUCAUGAGAAAAAUGUAAUUACUGUGUACUUUUGCUAUAAAUGUAAUAAUUGUUUGACAGUCUGGAAGGAGUCCCAGAAGUGUCAUUCAAAUCAAGUCAGUAGUUUAGGCAAUUCUGAGGGUCAGAGGUAUAAGAGGGCCAGCAGCCAAAAAAAUGUAGUUUAGAACUACUUGUCUACCUAGCAGUAUAUUUUCUUUAAUUUUUUUUUUUUUUACAAUUUUAAGUAUGCCAGUAAAUUCCUAAGAAAAUUCCAUUUAAAAAUUUUAUUGUUCAGCAUAAUACCAAAUAUGUCAUUUCUCAGAGCCUUUUAAAAAUUAUUUGUAUUUAAAAAUAAAAUUAUUACUUUUUGAGAUAUGAUUCACACUAUAAAAUUAGCCCUUUUAAAGUAUACCAUUCAGUGGUUUUUAGUAUAGUCACAAGUUGUGCAACCAUCACCACUAUCUAAUUCCAAAACAUUCUUCAUCUCAUAAAGAGAAAUGGGGCCCUGAAUAAUAAAUUUAUAACAUGUUGUUUAUUCAUUAGUUAGUGGACACUGGGGUUGGUUCCACUUUGAAACUUGUAACACUGUUGUGAAUAUUUGCAUAAAGUUUUGGCAUGAAUAUAUGUUCAAUUCUAUUAGGUUUAUAUCUAGGAAUGGAAUUGCUGGGUCAGAGGGUAACUCUAUGUUUAACUUUUGACAAAGCUACCAGACUGUUUUCCAAUGUGGCUGCAACACUUUACAUCCCUUCAGCAAUGCGAGGUUUCUAAUUUCUCCAUGUACUAGCCAACACUUGUUAUUGUCUCUCUUUUUGGUAGAGCCACAGUAGUGAAUGUGAAAUAUGUCACUGUGGUUUUGAUUCAGAUUUUCCUGACGAUUAGUGACGUUGAACAUAUUUUCAUAUAUUUAUUGGAUAUUUGCAUAAUCUCUUUGGAGAAAUGUCUGUUCAGAUUUUUUGCCUUUUAAUAAUAUGGUCUUAUAUAGCUAAAAAUCUUUAUUUUUCUGGCUACUAGACCUUAUUGUAUAUAUGCUUUGCAAAUAUUUUCUCCCAUUCUAUACAUUGUCUUUUCACUUCUUGAUAGUAUCCUGUAAAGCACUAAGAUUUUAAAAUUGGAUGUAUAAUUUAUCAAUUUCUUUAGUUGCUUACACUUUUGGUAUCACAUCUAAGAAACAAAUGCCUAAACCAAGGUCAUGAAAAUUUAUACCUAUUUUUUCCCUUAGAGUUUUAUGGUUUUAGUUUUUACAAUUCCUUGAUCCACUUUGAGUUAAUUUCUCAUUACUCUUUGAAGAUGAAAAUUCAUUACUGUGAGAGCAAAUGUCAGCAAGAUAAAAACAGUCAUUCCAAAAUACCUCUGAAGGGUCACUGAUGGAAGAAGCAUAAAAUAUUUUAACUUAAAAGCUUUGGCUCAGAUAAUAUGGAGACCACUUUUCUCCCUUAUCCAUGGUUUCACUUUCCAUGCCUUCAGUUACCUGCACUUAACUACACAGUCCAAAAAUAUGAAGUGGAAAACUCCAGAAAUAAACAAUUCAUGCAUUUUAAAUAACAUUCCAUUAUAAGUAGUGUGAUAAAAUAUUGUAGUACUGCUUGAACCCACCUGGGACCUGAAUCAUCCCUUUGUCCAGCAUAUCCACGCUGUAUACGCUACUGACCCAUUAGUCACUUAGUAGCCAUUCUGGUUAUUAGGUCAACUCUUGCAGUAUAUACUCACAGUGCUUUACUCAAGUAACCCUUAUUUUACUUAUUUAUGGCCCUGAAGUACAAAAAUCAUGAAGCUGGCAAUUCAGAUAUGCCAAAGAGAAGUCACAUUUUAGUAUCAGCACACAUUAUUAAAGGGUAAGAAUAAUAGAAUAAGAUAUAUUGAGAGAGGUUGGGGUUGUAGCUCAGUGGCAGAGUGCUUGACUAGCAUGUGUGAGGUCCUGGGUUCAAUACUCAGCACCACAUAUAAAUAAAAUAAAGGACAAUCAACAACUAAAAAAAUAUUUUUAAAAAAGAUACAUUGAGCUGGGCUCUGUGGCACAUGCCUAUAAUCCCAGCAGCUUGGGAAGCUGAGACAGGAGGAUGGCAAGUUCAAAGCCAGCCUCUGUAACUUAUUGAGGCACCAAGCAACUCAGUGAGUCCCUAUCUCUAAAUAAAAUACAAAAUAGGGGGCUGGGGCUAGGGCUCAGUAGUAGUGCACUUGCCUGGCAUAUGUGAGGCACUGGGUUCAAUUCUCAGCACCACAUAUAAAUAAAUAAAAUAAAGGUCUAUCAACAACUAAAAAAACAUUUUUUAAAAAAAUACAAAAUAGGGCUGGGGUUGUGUCAGCGGCUGAGUGCCCCUGAGUUCAAUUCCUGGUACCAAAAAAAAAAAAAAGAUAUACUGAGUGAGAAGAUUGAUUCACAUAAUUUUAUUACAACAUAUUGCUAUAACUGUUCCAUUUUAGUAUUGUUAACCUAUUACAGUGACUAGUUCAUAAAUUAAACUUUAUCAUAGGUAUGUAUGUAUAGCAAAUAUCAGAGCAUAAAUAGGGUUCAGUACUACCAAAGGUUGUAGGUGUCUACUGUGGGCCUCCAAACAUAUCCCAUGCAUAUAAGGGGGGACUACUGUACUAUAUUUGUGGCUCUCAAACAUCAGAAACCUAAAAAUUUAUUAAAUCCAGAUUGCUUCUCCCCAGCCACCACUGUUUCUGAUUCAGUAAGUCUUCAGUGGAGGAUAUUAUCACCCUCUCAAUUCCAUAUAAUGUGCAUUUCUAUCAAGUCACCAAGUGAUGCUGAUACUGCUGGUCCAGGGAUCCCACUUUGAGAAUCAUUAUGCUAAGCAAGAACUUCCUGAUUAUGAGCCCUAUUUAAAUAGUCUAGCUUCCACAUUAACAAGCUACUUUUAGAGUUAGAGAUCCUUUUUGCUGGGCUGUAAGCCAGAUUAUAAAAAGUUUAUAUUUGGGAGAGUCUUUAGUUGAACAGACAUUUAGUGGAAUAUACUAUUCUUAAAGAUGUGGAAAGCAAACCUAGGAAAGGUGAAAGCAAUUACCUAUGGCUAAGAGCUACUUUUGCAAAAUAAAUAUUACACUUAGAGUUUCUAGAUACUCCAAGCUCUUUCAGAAGCAGCUUAUACACACAACAAGCUUCUCAUCUUGAAAUAAUUUGAGGAUAAUGCCACCUCAAUAUAAUUGCCAGUAAAACAUUCUUUAAAAUGUAAAAGUUAUUUCUUAACAUGCUUCUACUCUGAUGAACAGUCUACUUCCAACAUGUCGAUUGUAGUUUCUCAAUCACAACCAGAAAAUCAGCCUGGUAAACAGAAAAACUGUAAUUUUAGGCUCAGAAAAAAACAAACAAACAAACAAACAAACAAACUGGGAAACCCGUAGCUGGCCCUCCAUAUCUUCGGAGUCUGCAUCCUGUUAAGUACUUGGGGAUGGGAGGGAAUUACAUCUGAAAACAUACAGACUUUUUCUUGUCAUUAUUUCCUAAACAAUUGUUUAUAAUAACUAUUUACAUAACAUUUACAUUGUGUUAGGAUUUGUAAGUAACCCAAAAAUGAAUUACUUAUGUAUUUGGAAUAAUUGUAUAAAUUAUAUACUGCUGGUCCAGGGAGACUCGAGCAAUUAAUUUUGGAAUUAAAGGGGAGUGGGUCCUAGAACCAAUUCCCUGGGGAUACAGAGGAUUAACUAUACUUAGUGUCUCUGGAAUUUAUAUAUACUUUAUGCAUUGUUUUGUUCACUUUUGCCAUCAUUUCUGGCUCAACCUUUUAUUAAACAAUUUCCAAAAGGAAUUAAAUCUCUAAAAGGAAUGGUCGCUGUAUUUGCUGUGAAACUCUAGAGCCGGUACAAUGGUCUUAUUGUAUUUGGAGGUGCUUCGUUAAGGUGUGACUAUCACCUGGUACUGGUACGGCCAUCCCAAGAAAAACUGGACCGCCCAUCCCUUUAGGAGGAGUAAUAAAAACUGGUCUUAGCUAUGGAAACCGAUGUGUGCGAACCAACGCCAGCGUCAACGAAGGAAGGACACGGGUACCACAUGGACUUCCAGCCACAGGUGGGCGGGAAAGGGCCGAGGGCGGGCAAUCUGUCCUCCGCCCCUCCGCAGGCCUCACAACUCGAGCAGGAGGAGGCUCCCCGUGGGCUCCGCGCGCCUUUUGCGGCGCAGCACAGCCGCGCGGAGUCUGAGGCGCUCGGGCCCCAAGGCCCUUCUCCUACCUCUCGCUGAGAGGAGUGGGGUGACCGCGAGUAGAGCCCAGGGAAGACGCGGCCGCUUGCGCGAAUCUACUCAGCAGGCCGGAGCGCG